ensembl:lncRNA
UGGAGAGCCCUGCAAAUGGUAUUUCCAUUUACCUUGGAAAUACUAAACUGCAAGAGAAUAACUCUCCCUCAUGGGAAGGUUAAUUACGGCUUGCUAGUCGAGGUAUAACUCAGUAUCUCAGCCUCUGUAACGCGCUGAAGUCUGGAGGAUUUAUCGAGCUUGUUGGGGGUGCUGGUUUCAUUUUCUUUUAGACUGUACUUUUCAGAAAACAGUGGAAGUAAGUGGUAUCUAGUAUAUGGGUUGUUUCCCAGUUCAAUAAGUUGUAUGGAGCAGUGGUGUAACGCUGCCCAUCUAGUGCUGUGGUGUAGAUAAGCAUCAGUCCCUGCAAGAGUCGCCUUGCCAGUUCUUCUUGCUAUUGCCUGCUGUUCCCGGUUUCCCUUGCACCCCCACGGUUUGCUCCAGUGCUGGUUUCUCAUUGUCAAGAGAGGAGAAGAUUGUAAUCCAGUAAGAGCUGGAGAAUGUUAGUUCUUUCAUCUUAAUGCGGACACACAGAAAGGCAGUUUUUCACAGGGAGGCCGUGGACAUUCGUGGCUUCUAAACUAUCAGUUCUCGGGUUCUGGCUGGACAGGAAUCUCUCUUCACACCACCCUGUUUUGGAUUAAUAUAUUUGGUAAGGUUAUGAUGACAUGCUGUGAGCUACCCCAUUUUGCUGCUUCUGGAUCUUGAGCUUAUAUCCCUCUGGCAACUGCAUAAAUAAACCACUGGAACUCAAUGA